rnacentral:rRNA from 1 species
UCGGGAAUUUUGGGCAAUGGGGGAAACCCUGACCCAGCAACGCCGCGUGAAGGAUGAAGUAUUUCGGUAUGUAAACUUCGAAAGAAUAGGAAGAAUAAAUGACGGUACUAUUUAUAAGGUCCGGCUAACUACGUGCCAGCAGCCGCGGUAAUACGUAGGGACCAAGCGUUGUUCGGAUUUAUUGGGUUUAAAGGGUGCGUAGGCGGUUCUAUAAGUCAGUGGUGAAAUACUCCGGCUCAACCGGAGAGGUGCCAUUGAUACUGCAGAACUUGAGUACAGACGAGGUAGGCGGAAUUGACGGUGUAGCGGUGAAAUGCUUAGAUAUCGUCAAGAACACCGAUAGCGAAGGCAGCUUACUAGACUGUAACUGACGCUGAGGCACGAAAGUGUGGGGAUCAAACAGGAUUAGAUACCCUAGUAGUCCCUGAGCGGGCUGGCAAGGCGCAU